AGAUUGAACGCUGGCGGCAUGCCUUACACAUGCAAGUCGAACGGCAGCGCGGGAGCAAUCCUGGCGGCGAGUGGCGAACGGGUGAGUAAUAUAUCGGAACGUGCCCAGUAGUGGGGGAUAGCCCGGCGAAAGCCGGAUUAAUACCGCAUACGACCUGAGGGUGAAAGCGGGGGAUCGCAAGACCUCGCGCUACUGGAGCGGCCGAUAUCAGAUUAGCUAGUUGGUGGGGUAAAGGCCUACCAAGGCAACGAUCUGUAGUUGGUCUGAGAGGACGACCAGCCACACUGGGACUGAGACACGGCCCAGACUCCUACGGGAGGCAGCAGUGGGAAUUUUGGACAAUGGGCGCAAGCCUGAUCCAGCAAUGCCGCGUGCAGGAGAAGGCCUUCGGUGUAACUGUCUUUUGUCAGGAAGAAAUCUUCUGGCUAAUAGUCCCGGAGGAUGACGGUACCUGAAGAAUAAGCCGACCGGACUAACGUACGU
rnacentral:rRNA from 1 species